UUCACCGUAGUUCGAUGGACGGAAUGGCCGCCUCCUAAGCGACAAAUACAGGUUUGUUUCCUGUCGGCGGGUCCA
rnacentral:tRNA from 1 species